rnacentral:rRNA from 1 species
UACGAAGGGGGCUAGCGUUGCUCGGAAUCACUGGGCGUAAAGCGCACGUAGGCGGCUUCUUAAGUCAGGGGUGAAAUCCUGGAGCUCAACUCCAGAACUGCCUUUGAUACUGAGAAGCUUGAGUCCGGGAGAGGUGAGUAGGAACUGCGAGUGUAGAGGUGAAAUUCGUAGAUAUUCGCAAGAACACCGGUGGCGAAGGCGGCCAACUGGACCAGCACUGACGCUGAGGCGCGAAAGCGUGGGGAGCAAACAGG